UGGGGAAUUUUGGACAAUGGGCGCAAGCCUGAUCCAGCCAUGCCGCGUGCGGGAAGAAGGCCUUCGGGUUGUAAACCGCUUUUGUCGGGGAAGAAACGCUCUGGGCUAAUACCCUGGGGUAAUGACGGUACCCGCAGAAGAAGCCCCGGCUAACUCUGUGCCAGCAGCCGCGGUAAGACAGAGGGUGCAAACGUUGUUCGGAAUUACUGGGCGUAAAGCGCGUGUAGGUGGUUUCGCAAGUCAGGUGUGAAAGCCCGAGGCUCAACCUCGGAAGUGCACUUGAUACUACGGAGCUGGAGUCUUGGAGAGGAGAGCGGAAUUCCCGGUGUAGAGGUGAAAUUCGUAGAUAUCGGGAGGAACACCAGUGGCGAAGGCGGCUCUCUGGACAAGUACUGACACUGAGACGCGAAAGCAUGGGGAGCAAA
rnacentral:rRNA from 1 species